UAGAAAAUAACAAAAAAAAAGCAAAAAUAUUUUAUUUUCUCUGUAAUCAUAUACAAUAAAGCAAACUCGGUCCUUAUUGAACACUGGCUAUUUUAUUAAUGCGCAUCAAUUUGAAAAAAAUGGUAUGUUAGCAGCGUUCGCUACGCCGCGAUGCAUUUGCCACACAAAAGAUGGUAAUUAUUUAGACUUGCUAGACUCCAAAAAAUAUUUUAUUUACAGUGCAUCAAAUACGACUUGAACUUCAAUGAUAGAUUCUAUUACUUCAAUGAGAAUUAUUUUCAUCUCCUAUUAUUCAGUUGCCUACACGCUGCAAUAUAACAACGCACUGCUUUUCAACGCUAUUCACUCAUAAGAAACUGCACAACCCAAAUGAAUAUUAAAAGUCAUCUGAAACCAUAAUUUAACGAAUUAUCGUAAUAUUUGAAAUGGUUCGUAAACAUUGUUACGUUAAAGUACCUUUCAAAAGUUACAUUCUACGCUAUAUUUUGCGUUUUAACUAAAGGGGAGUUUGUAAAAAUUUAAUUGACAUUACAUAGGCUUUAAAUAGCAAAAAAAGGACAUAAAUGAAUUUUAAAUUUUUGCUACAAAUACUGUAAAAACGUACAGUAGAGUUGAGGUAAGAACGUAUCAGACAAAUGCAUUACUCAAAUUAUUUCUAGUUCCCCAUUUGAACAAGCAACUUCAUACAAAAAGUUGGGUUGUUGAGCAGUGUAUAGACCCACUGGGUUAUCAGCAUUUUCGCGAAUAGCUUUGGCACGAGUGGGAUGAACGUGCUUUCUUUCUCCCACCUUGGUUGCACUAUCAAUUAACAACUGAAUUUGGCAUGAUCGCUCCAUCAAUGAAAGAAGAUAUGCUGCCUCAUCCACAGUAGUACCAACUGUCAUAAUGCCAUGAUUCUGAACAAGAACAGCUUUAUAAUCUGCUAAUCCUUUAGCGGUACGUCUUCCUUCUUCUGGCAUCGAUAUCACAUCAUCCAUGUCAAAAUAAAUUCCAUGAUUAUUAUAAAACACACAACAGUCUGUGUUCAACAUAUCCAAUGGCUUUCCCAAAGCUGAAAAUGCCUUACCGUAAAUUGAGUGUACGUGACAAACACAAAUUACCUCAGGUCGCACUUUGUGCAUUUCAUAAUGGAUGGCAAAUCCCGAAGUAUUAUACUUCAUCUUGCUUCCACCAAUGAUUUCGCCAUCGCUGUUGAUAUGAACCAAAUCGCUAGGCUUCAUCAAGGAAAAGGGGACUUCCAAAGGAUUUAUCCAAAAAGUAUUCUCAUCAAUUGGAUCCCUUACAGUAACAUGUCCUGCUGUUCCUUCAUUAUAUCCAUUUCUACCAAACAUGCGAAAAGCUGCAGCCAUAUGAUUAAGCAUCCAUUUUCUUUUAGUAUGUAAGUCUUCAAAUUCAGGCAAUCCAGUUACUUUAGCCAUUUUGUAUUAAAAAAAAAUA